rnacentral:rRNA from 1 species
UACAGAGGGGGCAAGCGUUGUUCGGAAUUACUGGGCGUAAAGGGCGCGUAGGCGGCCCGCUAAGUCACACGUGUAAUCCCUCGGCUCAACCGGGGAACUGCGUGUGAGACUGGAUGGCUUGAGUUUGGGAGAGGAAUGCGGAAUUCCAGGUGUAGCGGUGAAAUGCGUAGAUAUCUGGAGGAACACCGGUGGCGAAGGCGGCAUUCUGGACCAACACUGACGCUGAGGAGCGAAAGCCAGGGGAGCAAACGGG